rnacentral:rRNA from 1 species
GUCAAAUCAUCAUGCCCCUUAUGACCUGGGCUACACACGUGCUACAAUGGAUGGUACAACGAGUCGCUAACUCGCAAGAGCAUGCCAAUCUCUAAAAGCCAUUCUCAGUUCGGAUUGUAGUCUGCAACUCGACUACAUGAAGCCGGAAUCGCUAGUAAUCGCGGAUCAGCACGCCGCGGUGAAUACGUUCCCGGGUCUUGUACACACCGCCC